rnacentral:lncRNA from 1 species
GAAUGAUGUCAACAGGUCCCCAAGGCUCCAUGCCACCCAGCUCUCCUCAGCAUCAGGUUCAAAACUGUGGUGAACCCACAGACCACGAAAUUGACCACGUUGCCCGUGUCCAAGCACAGCUCAGGGGCACGGGACAGUCUCGGGCUGAGCGGCCGUCCCCACCACCCCCUCCAGAGCUCCCUCGUCCCCCAGGAUGGAGCUCUGACCCUCCAUACCCGCUCCCGUCCCCCCAGCCCGGCUCCCACCACGCUGCUUCUCUGCGGCUCUGAGACUCCAGGGAUCCCCUGGGGUAGAGGCUGCCAUGUGUCCCUUGUGUAUGGCUUGUGUCACUGAGCACCGGGUCCCAGGUCCGUCCCGGGCAGCAGGCAUUGGGUGCCCUUCCGCUAAGACCGAGUGACACCAGUGUGUGGCUGGCCGCACCCUGAGCCCCACUUUGGUGGGGGCGUCGGCCUCUCCACCCCGUGGCUGCUGCGACCUGGACGUGCUCCCUGGAGACCCCACCAGCUCUCACGGGUGGGCCCAGCAGUAGACUCGGAGGCGACUCCGCGUCCAGCUGUUGAGGAACCACGGCUCGAUUCCCCAGCAGCCGCCUCAUGUCCCCUUCCCACCGGCCACAUUAAAG